rnacentral:lncRNA from 1 species
CUCAGCAGAUCCUUCCAACUUUUCAAAGUGAAAAAGGACAAACGUAAGUGAGUUUUUAAAGAGGUGGCGCUCAUCGAUUUUUCCCGCUGUCCUGUGUGCAGGUUCUGCUGAACACGCACCUCCCAAUCAGUAUGUUCUGAGAGGGGAGGGAGACAGACAAAACUCCCUCCCUCCCCAUCCCAAGUCUAUCCAGCUCACGAGGGGCAAGGUCUGCAUGGCCCUGCGGGCUCUUCCUACCUAGAACGCCCUUCCAAGGUGAACUCCACACUGCAGUCCUAGACAGAGGGGUGUUUCUGGUUGGACUGUGACAUCCCAGAAAGCUGUCACUCAAAAAAGGAGUCUGGGGGGAGGGGGCCGGUGGUGUAAUACUACCUGUUCUGCUCACUUAAGCCACCAGAGCAGACGCCAUUUCUUGCCCUUCAAAGUGGGGCCAAAGGGUAAAUGUGUUUGGCAGACACAGCUGUUCAUAACAUCCACCUCUGGGUUUGCUCGUGUGUUUCAGAAAACAGGUGGGUGCACCCCUUCAGUUGAGGGAGAAAGAUUUCUUCUUCCUUGACAACAAUGGGUUGAGUAGAGUUCCAAUUUUCUCCACCUCCUGCAUGGCCAUUUUCCCCAAGCCUGCCCUCCCCUACCAUACUUAAUGUCUCUAAGACACACUGGAACAGCGGAUGCUUGGGGAGCCCAUCUGGGUGAGGACCUUGUCAAGCCACUGCAAAGGCCCAUUCAGGUGCAGCUCGAUCCAGCAGGGGGUACUGGUCACAGUCUGUCUCCU